rnacentral:lncRNA from 1 species
GAGUCCCCAGGAACACUGACCCCAGUGUGGACAACUGAAAUGAGGGACCUGUGAACAUUAUUAAAAGUUUAAAAUUAAUUAAAGGCCCAUUUUACAUUGCAGAAAAAGGCAGAACACAUUGCUGAGAGCACCUGGCCUCCUCUCCCCUCCCGGCAGCUCCAUCUGGGUAAGAGGCCUCGCGAGGCUGAGUGGGUGAGCCAUGGAAGGCCCUGGUCAUUCUGCCUCAUGGAUGAUUCAAAUAUCUGAUUGUCUUUCAGGUUUUCUUGAGUGCUGAAGACCAACCUUGGAAAGUACCAGGUGAUGGAGCUGAAAACUGGAACAGCCUUGAGACUUCUCUUAACACGUGUUUUGCAUGGGAAGGCAGAAGAAGAGUGUGCUGGAGGAAAGGAAGUCAGGGAAGGACCAGGAGGGAUUACCCAGAGGUAAAGUGGAUCUAUUGUUUCCCAUAAUCAUGCAGUUGGUCUUUUUUGCAUUGCUUAAACCAUUCUGAUUAUUGUAAUAGAUAGGUACAGAAAAUCACAUAAAGCAAAAGUAUAAUCUGAUAAAUUAUUAUAAAGCAUAUACCUUUGUGGCCACUGCUCAAAUCAAGACAGGGAAUUUCACUGCCUCUCCCUCAUACACCCUCAACCCCCUUAAAAUUAUUAAUCACCAUCUCUAGUUUUAGAGUAGUCUCUUCUUGGUGUUUCUUUAGAGGG